rnacentral:rRNA from 1 species
GCUGGCGGCAUGCUUAAUACAUGCAAGUCGAACGGAAACAGGACGCUAGGAUUCCUUCGGGAUGACUUUGUCGCUGUCGAGUGGCGGACGGGUGAGUAACGCAUAGGAAUCUGCCCAGUAGUGGGGGACAACACGGAGAAAUUCGUGCUAAUACCGCAUACGCCCUACGGGGGAAAGCGGGGGAUCUUCGGACCUCGCGCUAUUGGAUGAGCCUAUGUCAGAUUAGCUUGUUGGUAGGGUAAUGGCCUACCAAGGCAACGAUCUGUAGCUGGUCUGAGAGGAUGAUCAGCCACACUGGAACUGAGACACGGUCCAGACUCCUACGGGAGGCAGCAGUAGGGAAUAUUGCACAAUGGGCGAAAGCCUGAUGCAGCAAUGCCGCGUGUGUGAAGAAGGCCUGCGGGUUGUAAAGCACUUUUAUCAAGAAAGAAAAACCCAAGAUUAAUACUCUUGGCAUUGACGGUACUUGAGGAAUAAGCACCGGCUAACUCCGUGCCAGCAGCCGCGGUAAU